rnacentral:rRNA from 1 species
GACAGAGGGGGCAAGCGUUGUCCGGAUUUACUGGGCGUACAGCGCGCGCAGGCGGUGCGGUAGGUAGCUGGUGACAGUCCGCCACUCAAUGGCGGGAGGCCUGGCUAGACCGCCGGACUGGAGGCAGGGAGAGGGUGAUGGAAUGCCCGGUGGAGCGGUGAAAUGCGUAGAGAUCGGGCGGAACACCAGUGGGGAAGCCGGUCACCUGGCCCUGACCUGACGCUGAGGCGCGAGAGCGUGGGGAGCAAACGGGAUUAGAAACCCCCGUAGUCC